CCUACGUGUGGCCGCAGUAGGGAAUCUUCCACAAUGGGCGCAAGCCUGAUGGAGCAACACCGCGUGCGUGAAGAAGGGUUUCGGCUCGUACAGCUCUUUUGUUGGAGAAGAACGUGCGUGAGAGUAACUGUUCACGCAGUGACGGUCUCCAACCAGAAAGUCACGGCUAACUACGUGCCAGCAGCCGCGGUAAUACGUAGGUGGCAUGCAUUAUCCGGAUUUUUUGGGCGUACAGCGAGCGCAGGCGGUUGCUUAGGUCUGAUGGGAAAGCCUUCGGCUUAACCGAAGAAGUGCAUCGGAAACCGGGGGACUUGAGUGCAGAAGAGGAAAGUGGAACUCCAGGUGUAGCGGUGGAAUGCGUAGAUAUAUGGAAGAACACCAGUGGCGAAGGCGGCUGUCUGGUCUGCAACUGACGCUGAGGCUCGAAAGCAUGGGUAGCGAACAGGAUUAGAUACCCGGGUAGUC
rnacentral:rRNA from 1 species